rnacentral:RNase_P_RNA from 1 species
GAAGUUCGCUAGGCAGCCGCUGUGAUCGCUUAGGUCAUGGAGGAAAGUCCGGGCCCCGUAGAGCAGGAUGCCGGCUAACGGCCGGGCGCUAUAAGGCCGCAAGGUUGAAGGCGACGGAAAGUGCAACAGAAAGAUACCGCCAGUCCGACUUUGACGCCGCAAGGCGGCAAAGUCCCUUCCUGAAGAGGCGGGGACCCUUUCACGAGGGAAAGUCUGGUAAGGGUGAAAUGGUGGCGUGUCGCAAGACACGUCAGCACCGCGAAAGCGGUGCUGAGGUAAGAGCCCACCGCGUUGCUGGUAACAGUAACGGCAUGGCAAACCCCAUCCGGGGCAAGGCCAAAUAGGGGAGUAAUGACGUGGCUCGCGUC